GGCGGGAGGGAGCGGGCUGGCCUGCCCUGAGUAAAGAGUGGGAAUCUAAAAAUCUGGCUUUGAGGGCGCAGAGCUAGUUCGAUUUGCUCGAGUGCGCCUAACCCUCCUCGUAGAUUCCGCUUCCGCCUUCCUUCAUUCUCUUGAUGGGGAUUUAGGCUACAGCACUGGGAAAAUAAUCAUGGGACUGGAUUUCAGGGCCCUGGCCACCUCAGCUCUUCAGGAAUGAAAAGCAUAAUGUUUUCCAUGGUGAUGCUGUGUCUCUACCUCCUCCCUCUGAACCUUGUGAGAGCCACGAACUAGGCUGGACUUUGGUGUCUGCCCUUCAGAUGAUUGGUGCCAUAAGAGGGCCACAAGCGGGCUUUUUAAUGUCAGCUCCAAAACUCGAAGCGUACAUAUCAGGAGCUUGGAAGAAAAGCCUGGAGAAAGAGUGGAGCACUCUUUUUAAUACCUGAUGCAGAUUACAUCUUCUGAUGCCCCCCAAGGUGCUAUUACAGAGGACAACAUGGACAUCAACACCUCUGAUUCAGAAAAAUUGAUCUCUGAAUGGCCAUUAAAAUAAAAACUAUUCAAGAAGUCAGCUGCUGCUAUAAAGGUCAUCUGGAAAGUCCAGGGAAGGACCCUGAGCUGCUGCUGGGAAAGAGAAAUUGUCCUCUGGCUCGUGAGCUGUCAUGUUUGUCUGCUGAGUGGCUUCAGUGGUUUCAUCUGUUGCUGAAAGAGCCAAGAGAGAGGGAUAAAACGGGACUAUAAUCCAUACCACAAUGAGCGGGACGGGACCAGCAGCCCAGAAGAAGCAAAAGGAAUCUUAAUGAAUUGGAGACAAUUGGAGAUGGUUUAUAAGGAUGAAGUUCAAAGGUUUUUCUUUAGAAGCCAUUGAGUUGGUAGUCUAGGAGAGCACCUUGUAGUGGUAUUUGCAUAAGGAGAAAGAUGUCAAAUAUUCAAAGAUGCCUUUACUCAAAGAGCCAGUGGCACUUAAGUGGCCAAAUAGCUUACAAGCACUUAUUAAGGUAAGCAAAGCCUCACUCAUUGCUUGUUGUCAGACAUCUGAUUCUAAUUAUGGGAGAGCUAGAUAAACGAUGAUGCUUGGGGUAGAUAGAAGCUGGUAUGCCUUUUCUAAGCUCAUUAGUGCUUACAGCUUGCCAGUUUACACAUACACACACAAGGGGUCUGAAAUAAAGACUAGUUUCUGUGUUGUUUGUGUCUGUAUUCUAGUGAUAAUCUUCUGCAGGGAUAAAUACAGCUUCAGAUGUAACCCUAGAUUAAAAAAGCAAAAAAUAAAAAAAACCUAGCUUUCAGUUCACAUUUUCUCAAAUCACCCUCCAGCCCUAACCCCUGGAGUAUCACUGGAGCUGUAUUACUGUUAUUUCUCCCUAAAUCACACAAUCCCAUUUCUCUACCGUUUUUUGCUUUCCCUAACUGCACUCUAACCCCUGCCACAACAAGAUCAAAAACAACAUCAAGGAAAACCCCACAAAGGUUUUGUUUAAAUUCCCUUCUACCUCACUUUCCAUCAAAUAAAUUCCUUAGAAGUCAUAUCAUGAUUAAUAUUGUUAGUUUUCAGUAGAAUCAUUCCACUAAUUUCACAAAAAUAUGAAUCAUAAAGAUAGAAGAUUGAACAUUAUUUAUAUAUUCUUAUUUCUUCUACUUUUUAUGUUAGAAUCCUAAAAAACAAAAAUUGAUUUUUACUAAUGUGUCAUUGCUACAUAUGAAGCAUAUAUGAGAAAAUUUACUUAAAUUUAACUCAGUUUACAGUAGCCUCACCCAGCUUGCUAUUACUAUUAUCUUUCAAUAAUUUUUCUCCCCAGCUGCUAUCAGCUGCUACUUAAACCUAUGUGCUUAAUAAAUAGAGUUGGGGUGAUUUUCAUUUCUAUUUUCUUCUUUUCCAUAUUUUCAAAAAUUUUCAAGAGAUUUUGUGAUACUGAUCACCUCCUUGAACUGGGGAAAUAACCAGGAAAUACAUUCCACGUCUCAUUGCCUCUGAAUAACCACAUGCACAAGCAACCAUCGCUUAAGGAAGACUCAGAAUCUAGGGACAACAGAUCAUGUGUGGUUACAGGCACCAUUUUAAAGAUCAGGCUAGCUCUGAGUUGCCAUGGCAAACUAUUUGAAAUAGUCUGCUCUACAGAUUCUGCCUGCUGUAUGGGGUUGUUUAUAUAGUCCAGUGUAAAUGAUAUCACUGGGAAACAACUAAGCUCCUAUUACAAUGACUAAAAUCAACAAGCAAUGACUUGCCAACAUAAUACUUGUUUAUUCUCAUCUUGGUAUGUGUUUCGUGGAAUACUCCUUACAAUUACCAUACACUUAAAAGGGGAAAUUUUACUGAAUGUAAAUUUUAGUUCAAAAAAAAAAAAAAAAAA